ensembl:lncRNA
GGGUGGGUCACUGAGUAUAAAAGGGCUGUACACCUGGACCAAUGCGGACACUGUGUUCCUAGUUAGUCAGAGAUUUAAUAAUCAGAAAAAAAUGAUGCAAAAAGCAAAGGGACUACAGAGAAGAGGGUUGAGGUUUCAGAAACAAUUCAGGGCUGAAUAAAGUGGCACCUGAUGCAGAAGAAUGUUUAGAGCAUGCACCUGGAAGGGAGGCAUAGGGCCCAGGGAGUGGGGCCCAGGAUUGGGUUAACAUUCCAGAAGUCAGGGAAUUGUCUGCUUGCUCAGGAUGGCGGUAGAAGAAGGAGCCCAGAUGACCCUAUUGACAAAUGAGGUAGAAACAUGGAAACACUUUGAGCUUCCAAGUCAAAAAACAGUGCUCUAUCAGUAGCAAAUGUUACUAAUGUUAAAUAUAGUGCUGCAUCUAGCACUGAGAAUUUUUAUAAUGCAUGUCCUGCUAAUGCUUUUGAGAACCUUAACUAGAAGGGUGGGAGAUGCUAACUUGUCUGGCAUAUGAUCUUGUUUCUAUCCAUAUUUCCCAGGCAGAAAUUAUAAGUAUGUUUUAAAGCUUUUAAGGAGUCAGUGAAAAUUAGUUGUGCUCUGGCACCAGCUCUUUCCCGGGAAGCAUGCAGGGCGAUGAAACAGCUCUACAACUGCCAUUCUACACAGAAAGCAGCGCUCAGGGGUCGUAAAACCGUCUGGCUCUGUUCCCUGUGUAGGAGCUGUGCGUGGGAGAACUCGGAGGACCAAUUUCACGGUUGACACGUCCUCUUUCUUCUCCUUCUGGGAGUCGUGGUUCCAGAAUGAAGAAUUUCUCUCCCUCCCACAGCAACAGCAGCUCAGUCUCCAGUUGUAACUCAGGAGUCCUUCUCCACUAUCACCCCCGUCAAGUGAGGGACGGCUGUUUCUCCUAUUAUUCAGCAGAGCAGCUGCCUAUUGAGGUCAGUGGUGUUGAUAGCAUCUGCUUCCUCAGGGAAUCGGUGGGCUAUCCAUCAGUAUGAGUGCCUCUGACUCCCAUGAGGCCCCCAUGAUGUCGCAAGGCGGCAUCACAGGCAAAACAGAUUCAGUGUUGCUGGACAAGCAGGGAGCGGUGUAGAGUACGUGAAGGUCAAAACGGAGUGGAACUGGCCUGUGGGUUUUUUACUGCAGCUGAUAGGCAGAGUUCUGCUAAUGGAGAAAGACUCUAAACAAAAGUAGGCUUUCUCCUGUGCAUCUUUUCCCCUAUAGCUGCUUCCUUUCUUCUUUUCUUUUCAAUUAAAAUUUUUUUUUAAGACUUUAUUUUUAGAGCAGUUUUAGGUUUACAAUAAAACUGAGAGGAAGGCACAGAGAUUUCCCAUAUACCCUCUUCCCCCACACAGGCACGACCUCCCCCAUUAUCAACAUCACUCACCAGAAUGGUACGUGUUUUGCCAAGGGUGGACCUACAUCGAUACAUCAUGAUCACCUAAGGUCCAUACUUGACCUUAGGGUUCACUCUUGGUGUUGUACAUUCUAUUUCUGUCAUUAUAAUAUCAUAUAAAGUAUCUUCACUGCCCUAAAAAACCUCUACCUAUUCAUCUGUUCCCCACCUCCACGACCC